GACUGAUCGUGCUGGGGGCUCUGCCUGUCUCCUGCCCUCAGGACCCUGAACUACCACCAUCACCUGGGAACCCUGACUAAUUCAAGCUUCAGGGAGUGGCAGAGACCAUCUCCUCUUUCACCCAGGCUUCCUCUUGGCCAGCCCUGCGUGUCAAAGCCCUUCUUUAAAAGGGUUUUGAGGGACCUGUGUGUCAUGGGUAUGAGGCAUUUCUCUUUCUCCUUCUCCUUUUAAUGUACAUCAUCCCCGAUCCUUGCUGUGAGGCUGUAUUCCCCACCUUCUCCAGAACAGCGCGGGAGACAUGACCUACCAACCACAUCUUUAGCUAUGUUUUGAGCAGUAGUUUUUACUAUCUUUAGCCCCCUCCUCAAAAGUGGUACGGCCUUUCAAAAGAGGCAACGAAAUAUUCCACCCACACCAGCCCCGUACAUCACGGGAGCCCCGUGAUAUCCAGGAAGGGCGUAUCCAGCCUGGGCUUUGUAAUAGUUCCUGUAGAUGGUGGGGUGGUUGUAAUUUUUUAAGAUCACCAUAAAAGUGUUUAGUUUUUUAGAAACCUCGCUCUCUCUGCGGAUGCAGAUGCAGCUUGACGAUCAUGUUGCCGAAGCAAAAUGAGAUGCGUUUGUUCUGAUCUGUCUUUAUUUCAGUGGUGAUGGUGUCGAUGUGGUGUUUACUGACAAGGACGUAAUGAGGCUUAUCAUAGAUAAUGGUGACAAACUCGUUGUUCCUUCCUUGGACAGGACGCAGCGUAACAGGGGAAAAGAAAAUUCCCCCGGAAAUUGGUGUUCUACAAUAUCCGUGUACAGAUACAAGGAGUUAAAACCCCCUGUGAUGUCUGCCAAGAAGGGGAAUUUUUGGACGCUGCACUUGGUACCGUCUUUUACUAACACAAGUAUGGAGGGGGACACAUUCAUAUUGACACAUUUAAAUAAGUUUUAUUAAUCACCUGGUUUAACAUAAUCUUUUACAGCCGCCUGUAAAAAUGGAUGCCAUUACCCCUACCAUAAGGGAGUCUGACUUGGUUCAUUCUUCCAAUGGGUAAGUUCUCAAAGGCCUCUAGAAAGGCAUCGUUGACCUGUUGAGAGAUUUUUCAGAAAAGAAACAGUGUAAGCACCCCCACUGCUUGUUUUUAGAUUUAUGCAAUCCCGGGUUGGUUCCUAACCCCAUUACAUCCCAUCCUCAACUGUCCCUUCUUAAUCAUUCAUUUACCUAAGUGACGUCUUUUCCAUUCUCCUUGUCUGCCGGUGACUCUUCCAAGCCAUGAUCGUCUUCCACCUCUACAGGGGUGGACAAUGAGAGGCCGUCACACUCAUCGGGGUGCCUCACGAGGGUUUGGGUUUCGGGGUCGCGUUCCUGCGUAUCCAUGAACGGUUGAGUCAAAGGACCCCAUUGGAACUGUUGCUGAUGUAGCAUUUUCUCCACACACGUCCAAAGGUGCUCGAGGCUAAAACAAAGUCUCAAGUUCUCACGGGAGUGGUAAAGGAGUCCAUGUUUCCAUGAUUUCUAAAACACGCAUUCUUGGUAAAAGAUGGCCUCUUCUGCCGGGCGCUGGGAGUUAUGGGGUGAUGGUGCUGUGCUCUGACUGGCAGAGAGCACUGGGAGGAGUUCUUAAAGGGGUCACACCACUCUCUUCUGGGCGGUUCACCCCGUCCCAGAACCUGCCCUAUUUUGGUCAAAUCUGCUCUCAGGCCGGUCCUGUGCAGCCGAAACCCAUCGUGAUUGGUAGAGGGCGAUGAGAGGAGUUCUCAAAGGGGUCAUACGAACCACUCGCAGACGGGCCACCCUUCCCCCGAGUUCUUCCCUAUUGGUCAAAUCUCCUCUUGGGGAUGGUCCCCAACAGCUGAAAACCUGCCUGAUCGGUAGAGGGUGAUGGGAGGAGUUCCUAAAGGAGUCACAGGAACCACUUCUGGAUGGGUCAUCCCGCCCCCAAACUCCUUCCCGAUUGGUCAAAUCUCCUCUUGGGGCGGAGCUACGGGGGAAGCAACCUCUCCUGAUUGGUAGAGAGCAGUUGGAGGAGUUCUCAGAGGGGUCACAAUGCACACCUUGCUUCCAGUCAUGUGGCCGCCUUGACCGCGGAAGUAAUAUCCCCAUGGGGCGGGACUUCUGUGACAGGUGGGCAGGGUUUAAAGGGUCAAGGGGUGGGUUAGGUUUGAUUGAUGGUAGGGCCCUUCCUCCUCAUUGGUAGAGGGAGGUGGGAGGAGUUGUUAGAGGGGGCACAUGACCCACUUCUGAACAGGUCACCCAGCCCCGGAACUCCCCUGAUUGGUCAAAUCGUCUCUCAGGGGGCUUCUACGAGGGCGAAACCCAUCCAGAUCGAAGAAGUGUGUGUGGUGGGGGUUACUUUGUAAAUUAUCAGCUUGGUCCAGGACUGCCUCUGCUGCUCUCUCAAGUCCCAGUGGUACCUCUGUUUCUAGACGAGAACCGGUCUGAGACAGAUCUCUCUCCAACAGCCUCUGUGAUAAAGGUAGAAGAUGCAUACACAAAAAUAUUAGCUUCUCAGCAAUGUCCUUGUUGUCUUUAAUUGCUCUCUUGAAUCCACUCAUUCUUUCACA